GAUGAACGCUGGCGGCGUGCUUAACACAUGCAAGUCGAACGGAAAGACCCUACCUUUGUGGGUUGCUGGAGUGGCGAACGGGUGAGUAACACGUAAGUAACCUGCCCUCGACUUUUGGAUAACUUCAGGAAACUGGGGCUAAUACCGGAUAGGAUCUCCUGCUGCCUGGUUGGGAUUGGAAAUUUUCGGCGUCUGGGGAUGGACUCGCGGGUUAUCAUCUGGUUGGUGGGGGAGUUGCUUCCCAGCGCGUUGAAGGGUCGGCGGCCUGAGAGGGUGACCGGGCACCGUGGGACUGAGAUACGGCCCAGAGUCGUAGGGGAGGCAGAGGUGGGGAAUAUUGCCCAACGGGGCGACGCCGGAUGAAGCAUCGCCGCGUGCGGGAUGACGGGCUUUGGGGUGUAAAAAGCAUUCGCGUGAGACGAAGCGUGAGUGACGGUACCGGAUAAAGAAGCACCGGCUAACUACGUG
rnacentral:rRNA from 1 species